rnacentral:rRNA from 1 species
GAACGCGAAGAACCUUACCAGGCCUUGACAUGUCCAGUUUGAUCGCCAGAGAUGGCUUUCUUCACCUCGGGUGGCUGGAACACAGGUGCUGCAUGGCUGUCGUCAGCUCGUGUCGUGAGAUGUUGGGUUAAGUCCCGCAACGAGCGCAACCCUCGUCCUUAGUUGCCAGCACGUAAUGGUGGGAACUCUAAGGAAACUGCCUGUGAUAAGCAGGAGGAAGGUGGGGACGACGUCAAGUCAUCAUGGCCCUUACGGCCUGGGCUACACACGUGCUACAAUGGCGAUGACAAUGGGUUGCAACCUCGCGAGGGGAAGCUAAUCUCAAAAAGCCGUCUCAGUUCGGAUUGUACUCUGCAACUCGAGUGCAUGAAGUUGGAAUCGCUAGUAAUCGUGGAUCAGCGUGCCACGGUGAAUACGUUCCCGGGUCUUGUACACACC